CUGAAAUGUUCAGACUUGAGUUCUAUGAACUGUGUUGUCAUUUUGUGUUGUGACACUGUGUUAUCACUCUAAUUCUGACAGCAGGAUUUUACAAACUGCCAUGAGUUCUGAACAAAAGGAAAAGUGUAUGUAUGCAACAAUUUUCAGUGGAUCGGAAAACCAGGAGACAUUAGUUUGUUAUUAUAACUUGACCUAAGAGGAGAAGAGGUGCAUAUGUAUGAGCAUGCAGAUAUUUGAUAAGUUGAUAUCUUUCCCAGAAAGCUUGAAAGUGGUGAUUUUUGCAACAUUUCAAAUUGAUUAGGGGAUGUUGGGGUUUUUUUCCUACUCAGAUUCAUGAAGGAAUGACACAAAAAUUAAGAGCUAUUUUUAAAAUCAGACUUUGAUAUGUAGAAAGUAAUAAAUGGGAGGAAAGUGGUAGCAAAAGUCAGAUCCAGUGAAUAGUGAGAAACUGGACACAAUUCUGCCAAAUGUCUGUGAAUUGAUGCCCAAGACUGAAAUUCUGACACCUUAAACAGUUCUUUUAAACAUGGCCAUGACUAAAGCAGGCUAUUUCUAGCCUUAAAAUCUUACUACAAAAGCAGAGCUGUGGUUUUCUUCAGAGAUUUUUGUAAAUUCUUGCUGCAGGGAGGCUAGGUAGCAGGGAAACAGCUUUCUAGGGGGAGCUGAGAGGGGUGAUUCUACUUUUUGUCCGGCAAUAAUUCUGAUCUAAAGGAAUAAGAAAGCAUUGAAAAUUUUAUUUAAACCUCAGAAAUUGUAUUUAACAUGGGAUGGGCAUUUAUAGUUUAGCAGUCUGUUUAUCUGAAGCUGUAUGACUUUGUCCUGACUGCGAAGGUUCCCAAGACAUGUUGUUCAGUUUACUGUGUGUUUUGAGAGACAGAAAAUGUGAAAGAAUUUAUGUAUAUGCACAUAAAUAGAUAUAUAUAUAUUUAAUGUAUAUAUAUACAUUAUAUAUAUAAUGUAUAUAUAAUGUACAUGCAUACAGACUGUAUACAUAUUUCAGUUUAUUGUGUGCACAGAAUAUCAUGCUCUCACGCUCAGGAACACAGCGUGGGCCACAGCCCAGGGCCCCAGCUGGCCUUGGCCUUUGGCUGGUUUUGUGCAGCACUGUUGCCUGACCUUGGCUCACUGUCACUGAGAAGGCUGUCACUGAGCUCUGAGAGUCUGUAAACUGAAACCGUGUAAGAUAAGAAAAGUAAAAACAGGCAGAACUGAAUGUGCUGAGCUGGGAAGACUGUCUUGGGAACUGGGGACAAACACUGACAUGGAAUCUAUAAAACCUGAGGGAGAAAUCAGAGACGUAGAAGAUGGCAUCUCUGCAACUAUGAGGACUUGUACUGAAGUACUGGGGUAUUUUGACAUGACUGAAAUGCUUUUCUUAUCAAAUAUAAAGUCUGCAACACCAAUAAAAAGUAAGAGAAAUCACCUCAUAUGCUUUUCUCUUCUCUCCCCCACUCUCUUUUCCUUUUCCACAUUUUUCCUGCACUGAUCCUCAUCUCGUCAGCUCCCUCUGGCCCAUCUGAAAUAUGCUUCUCUGAUCAGCCUCUGGUCAAAAGUGCCUCUUGAUACCUUUUACCACUCUGCUCUUGUUUCACUCCAUGAAAUCAAGUGAAUCAUAUAAACCCCCAAGGCGCACUUGGCAUGUGGUUCUGUUGUCUCCAGUGUCCACACUGGGAUGGUGGUGUGGCCCUGGAGAGCUGCAGUGACCAGCCAGCCCUUUGCACUGCCACGCAGGUGCCCAGCUUGGCAGCGGGGCUGGAGGGGUGAGAACAACAUUCCCAGCCCCAAUGUGAGUAUCUGGGGUUGGGGUAGGGACUAAGGGCCCGAGAGGCUUUGCACUUUACACAGGCACCCAGGUGAAAAUAACUUUGUUUCUAAAUCACAGCAGGCACUGGGGCUGCUAGGCCCUGGCAGAGGUUCCCCCUUGCUGUCAGAGCCAAAGCCAGCAGCUGUCUCCAUAAGCACAGUAUGUUUCAUAUAUGGCAGACUCUCAGCUGCCUUCAGAUCCCUCUGAUUAAAGAAAUCACCUUGUUCUGGGAGUGUCUAGUGUGCCAUCUGGGACGUGCUCUGCAGCUCCUCAGACCAAACUGGAGAAGCUGUGUUUCCUUGUCUCUCAUGUUUUUCAUAAUAGUCUCCUUCCUACCAGCACCAUAUUUCUUGUUGCCAAUCUUUUCAUCUCAUUUCUGCUACCAGGUGGUUAAGCAAGCAGAAGGACAUUGGACAAAAGGGACUACCUGGACAAUUUAAGCUGGACUGCAAGUAUACAUUGGUUCCAUCCAUUUUAAUUUGGGGGGAGUUUGUGGUUGGUUGGGUUUGUUAUUUGUUGAUUGUUUUAUUUGUGUUUUUUUUAAUAAAUUAAGAUGCAAACAUAAAAUGGUUGGCAGUUUAGCUGUCCUUGAAAUGUCAGGUCUGAGAACCAUAUUUGGAAUGAGAUUUAUCCAUUUUGGCAUAUAGUGAAAGUUACAGUGAGAAAUUAUGUUAGUGCCAGGUCUCCAAAGCUACAAAGUGUGAACUAGAUAUAGACAAAAGGUGGAAAAAUGUAUCCCAUGAACUAACCAGCCCCUUGAUUAAAUCACUCAGGAACCUGUACAAGUAGGAUUUCAUACAGAAGGAAGAGAUGAAGGUGCACAGGAAAAAAGACUUUCUAGUCACACUGUGAGCUCCUGCUCUGUAGCAGCUGCUGCUGCCCAAACUCCCCUAAGAAAACCAGUCUCUGCUGUAAGCUGAUGGCAGAAAUGUUGUUGCAUGGUGUACAGUAGCAUUUACUAAACAGGCAAGAGAUACAUUUUGGAAAGAGACUCUCAGCAGUCUAUCAACUGGAAAAUAAAUUAUCUUUUUCUGCAGCCCACUCCAUUAUACCCCACUGCCCUUAGUUGCCUCCUCUGAACUUGGAUUCACUACAUUUCCAGGCACAUCUGGGCUUAGAGAACAUAUUAUGUAGCACAAGGGAGAGCAGGUGGUCCUGUGCAGCCCUGUUUGUGUUCAGCCUAAUCUGAGAGAUUGGCUUUUGGAGGAGGGGCAGAGAUCUGGGGGCAUAUAUGCAAUUCAUCAUCACUGUUUCCAGCUGAAUGUGAGAAACUGCUACACCUGCUGCUCUGCUUCUGAUGGGCUUUGAAAUAUAGGCAGGCUGAAGGACGUGUGAGUUUUUCUUUCAUGAUAACAAAAAUAAGCACUUUGUUCUGGUAUCUGUAAAGUUAAGGCAGUUUCCUACAAGCAGCGAUAAUUCAAGAGCAGUUUCUGGCUUGUGAUUGACACAUGAAAAGGAAGAGUAUUUUUGGAAACGCUGGUUGAUUUUAUUAUUAAAAAAAAAAAGGAAAGAAAAUCACUGCUAAUUUUCAGUUUGCUGAGUCUUUUAAUACAUAAUUUCAACACACUGAAUUAUCAGACAGAAGAGAAGUAAUUCAUUGCUGUGAGAUAAAACCAUCAGUAUAAAGUAACUGCUAGAAAUCUUCAUCGUGCCCUAGAAAAGAGUCCAGGUGCUUCUAUGCCACAAGAAGUUUAAACAAUGUUCAGCUGUGAACUAGGACCCAGAAUAAGGAUGCAAAGCAAAUGCCUGUUGACAUAGACAACCUGUCCCAGGGGAAUGAGAGUGCAUUAGAGGACUGGGAAGAUCCCUAAAACCAAACUGCAGGUAUGGGUGCCCUGAUGGGAAGCAGACCAAACAUACAGUAGCUUGGAGGCUGUGUUGGAAGAUACAAGCUGUAAAUGCACUUUCUGUGUUUGCCAGACACUUUUAGAGAAAACUGGGAAGAUUCAGUCCGAACUCAUGAAAGAUUUUUGCAAAUCUGCAGAUGCCAAGCCUGAGUUUGAGGUCCAGGAGAGGCCAAGUUCCACCUGUGUGGUUGUUGCUGCAGCAGUACUAAUGCAUCCUCCCAAGUGCAGAAAUUGGGGAAUUUUGCUGCCCUGCUGUGGGGAGCAGGUGGGUUCGUGCAGGGGUAAAAGAGCUACUCCAAGAAGUGACUCUGUCCAAACGUGAACAUGAACAGAACAUCAUGCUUUCCAAAGCAAUUACAAUUCUCAUUCACUCUUUCCAUCUCCCUCAUGCUUGCUGUGUGUAAUGAAGCUGAAAGACAACAAGGGACAUGGUCACUGGAGAUACUUGUCAAGCCUGUGACUGAAGCUACUGAAGUUCUCUACUGAUAUGCCACGUGAAAGCUUGGGUAAAGAAGUGCUACACUUCCAAAGUCAAACAUUCAGUUACUAAGAAAUAACCAAGUCAUAUCUUCCAAGGCAGCCUUAGCUCAAUUUUCCUAUUUAUGCACAUUAUAAUAUAGUAUUUAAUUAUGUCACCACAGAUAAGUUAUUCCUGAAAUUUCCUCCUAAUAACUUCUCUGAGCAUUUGUGUAUCUAUGUAGCUCUUAGAGCUGGGCCUUUAUUUCUCCCAGAAAGCACUGUAUUAGAACCCAGCAGAGAGAGAUUUGAUCUAAACUCUUGAUUUCCUAAAGUCUCAGAGACAAAGUCAACCUGGCAUGACAGCCCUUAGUGAGGAGAGCUGGGGGCUUGGCCCACAAAGUACAAAGUGGAGCUAUGUGUCUGUCUGUCCCAUCCACUUCUCCCUUACAUUUUGCUAGAAGUACAGUGACCAAAGUGAUGGCUUAGUGCCUCCCCAGCAAUUCAGCCCCACCACUUGCUGAUUAACCAAAAACCCCUUGCCCAGCUGGAAGAGUCCAUCCAUGCUAGCUGAGGAUUGAAGGUUUUGUUUUGCUCUAGAGAAAGGAAAACUGCUGUGUGGUUUUAAAUCCUUUCACAGAGGAAGGGUAUAGAGCAGGUGGCCAAAAAUGCUAAGGAGGACUUUGGACUCAGGCUAUGGCUGGUCUGAGACUGGGAGGUGUCAGGAAACACCUUGCAAAACACUGAGAGUAAGAGUGGACAGCAGCUCUGCAAUUUUCAUUUUCCUUUCGGCAGUAGCUAAUUAGUCUCUGUGUAGGGAACAGGUUCCCGGUGAAAAGCAAAGCCCUGCACUGGCUGUUACCAGGCAAUUAUUCAUUGCCAUUCAAGCAAUUAUUGCUGCCUCUGGGACAGCAGCUACUUUCUACUUUGAGAAACACCGGAGACAACUUUCCAUUAAGCAGUCACUCUUGUUUACAGGAAAAUGCACAAAUAAAUAAUAGAAAUAAUCUA